rnacentral:misc_RNA from 1 species
AAAGAUGGCGGAAAUGGAAGGGUUUUGGAGCUGUAAGUGAUUCAAUAGCUGGUUGUUGUAAAUCCCGUGGCUUUCAGCCAAUCCACUCGCGCAAGGAUGAAGAAACAGUUUUAUCGGGUCAAACAGCUGGCUGAUCAACGUGUUGGCAGGGCCGAGAAGACCGAAAUCUUGUCAGAAGACUUACAGAAUGUUGAGAAAACUGUGGAGAAAAUCAAGCAUGCUUGUCAAUCUGCAAACAAGCGAAUCACUGCAUCAAUGCAAGGUUCUGGGAGUGAUUUUGAAAAACGGAUGAAAAAGCUAAACCAAACAGGUCUUGCAAACAGUAUGCUUGAGUCUAGCAAUCAGUUAGGAGACAGCUCUGUUCUUGGAACUAUAAUGUCUGGAGCGGGGGAGGCAGAGUUGGCAGUUGCCAAGGAGUUGUGUGAAUUUGAGAUGGCUGUAGAAAGGAAUGUUAUUGCUCCUAUGACAACACUACUGGAGAAUGAUAUUCCAAGUAUUGCUCAGUCCAAGAAGAAGCUAUCCAAGGCUGCUCUUGACAUGGACACAUGUAAAUCAAGAUGGAUGGCAGCUGUGAAAGGAGCACAUGGAGCAAGUAAAGACAUGUGGGCUGCUGCAUCCAAAGCAGAUUCCCUUAAAGAUGAACUGGAAGAAGAAACUGCUAAAUUUGAAGGAUGCCAGGAUAGCUUUACUACUGAAGCUCUGAAGUUUGUAUCCAGAGAAGGAGAAUACGCAGAUUGGAUUAUACAUUUUAUGCAAGCUCAACUAGAAUAUCACAGGAAGGCUGCUGUUAUUCUGGAAAAUGCUCUACCAGACCUGAAAAUAAAAGUUGAUGAGUCGUCAUUGAGACCUGUGUUUGGAUGUCCUUUAGAAGAACAUUUGAAAGCUCAAAAUAGAAGUAUAGCCUUUGUGCUUGAAGAAAGUUUGACAUUCCUACAUGAGACAGCUCUAGAAGAACAGGGCUUAUUUCGGUUGGCUGGAAGUGCAUCUAAAAUCAGAAAAUUAAAGGCUGAGUUUGAUGCUGGCUUAGUAGACUUAGCAGAAUAUUCAAUAGACCUACAUGCUAUAACAGGAGUAGUAAAGUUAUACCUACGAGAACUGCCAGAACCUCUGAUGACAUUCAAAUUGUACGAUGAAUGGAUACAGGCUGCAAGUAUUCAGGAAAAUGGAGCAAAGUUACAAGCUUACUGGACACUUGUAGAAAAAUUACCCAAACCUAAUAAAGAUAAUCUAAGGUAUUUGAUUUGUUUCUUGGCUAAGCUGUGUGAACAUGCAGAGUUCAACAAGAUGACAGCAAGUAAUGUUGCUAUAGUGAUAGGACCAAACAUCAUUUAUUCUCAGCUCAAGCAUGAUGGUGUCAGUCUACAGCAUACUGGUAUCCAGUCAUCAAUAAUAGAGGCAUUGAUACAACACCAUAAAUAUUUCUUUCCUAAAGGAGUGGACUUCUUCCGAAGUAUUCCAACGCAGGAAAAUGGUUUAAACACUACUACAAACUCAUCUUCAAAUUCAUCAUCUAACAAAGCUAAUCAAGAGCAACAACGACAUUCAACACAACAAAAAAGAUCUGUAGCAGAGUUUCAAAGUGUUACAGGAGGGCUUUUGGAAGAAGUAGUUGGAAUGAUCAAUGCAUCUAGUUCAAGUGACAAGUAAAUACAGUUACAAGCCAUUUACCCUAUCCUGUGUACACCUUACCCUAUCCUGUGUACACCUUANCCUAUCCUGUGUACACCUUACCCUAUCCUGUGUACACCUUACUCUACCCAUUUUGUUUAUUCCCUAUUCAAGCUAACCUGUAUCUUAAGACCCAAACAUGUAUGCUUUUCUGUUUUGAUAUUUAUCCA